GUUUUUGUAUCAGUCGCAUACAAGAAUAUCAGCAGAGCAGGAGGUGGGAAUGACUGUGGAUUUGGAGGUAAUGACAAAUCUUGGGCUGUAAAUUGUAAAGGUUUUAGUUUUGU